GACUGCAGCCAUACCACCCUGAACGUAUGCAAUCUUGUCUGAUCUCAGAAGCUAAGCAGGGAUGGACCUGGUUAGUAUUGGAUGGGAGAAGAAAAAGGAAUGUUUAGACA
rnacentral:rRNA from 1 species